ncrna:unclassified sequences RT-2 RNA
GAUGGGUCAGGACAGUAACCGGCAGCGGCGAAGCAGCACCCUUGCAGAAGGAGAGCUUGUUCCCGGCACGGCCAAAACAAUCCUCUGAUGCAGUCAGCCGGACGCUGCUUGCAUGGCGGGCAAACGUGCGGAUAGCCCGUUCCAUGGCUGGUACUGCCACGCGGAUAGAACACGCACCCAAGAAUAAUUCCGUACAGGGGAUGCCCUAACGGGCGAGGAGAA